rnacentral:rRNA from 1 species
UAGGGAAUCUUCCACAAUGGGCGAAAGCCUGAUGGAGCAACGCCGCGUGUGUGAAGAAGGGUUUCGGCUCGUAAAACACUGUUGUAAGAGAAGAAUGACAUUGAGAGUAACUGUUCAAUGUGUGACGGUAUCUUACCAGAAAGGAACGGCUAAAUACGUGCCUG